rnacentral:tRNA from 16 species
CGGUGCGGCGGGGGGGUGGGUUCGAUUCCCACG